AUGAACGCUGGCGGCAGGCCUAAAACAUGCAAGUCGAGCGCCCUAGCAAUAGGGAGCGGCGCACGGGUGAGUAACACGUGGGAAUAUGCCUUUUGGUACGGAACAACCUCGGGAAACUGAGGCUAAUACCGUAUGGUCCCUUCGGGGUAAAGAUUUAUCGCCAAAAGAUUAGCCCGCGUUGGAUUAGCUAGUUGGUAGGGUAAUGGCCUACCAAGGCGACGAUCCAUAGCUGGUCUGAGAGGAUGAUCAGCCACACUGGGACUGAGACACGGCCCAGACUCCUACGGGAGGCAGCAGUUAGGAAUAUUGGACAAUGGGCGCAAGCCUGAUCCAGCCAUGCCGCGUGAGUGAUGAAGGCCUUCGGGUUGUAAAGCUCUUUAGCCGACGAAUAUAAUGACUGUAGUCGGAGAAUAAGCCCCGGCUAACUUCGU
rnacentral:rRNA from 1 species